rnacentral:rRNA from 1 species
GAUGAACGCUGGCGGCGUGCCUAAUACAUGCAAGUCGAGCGAACAGACGAGGAGCUUGCUCCUCUGACGUUAGCGGCGGACGGGUGAGUAACACGUGGAUAACCUACCUAUAAGACUGGGAUAACUUCGGGAAACCGGAGCUAAUACCGGAUAAUAUAUUGAACCGCAUGGUUCAAUAGUGAAAGACGGUUUUGCUGUCACUUAUAGAUGGAUCCGCGCCGCAUUAGCUAGUUGGUAAGGUAACGGCUUACCAAGGCAACGAUGCGUAGCCGACCUGAGAGGGUGAUCGGCACAACUGGAACGUAGACGCGAUCCAGACUCAGACGGAGGGCAGCAGUAGGGAAUCGUCCGAAAGGGGAGAAAGCAUGACGGAGCAACGCGGCGUGAGGAAUGAAGGUCUUCGGAUCGUAAAACUCUGUUAUUAGGGAAGAACAAAUGUGUAAGUAACUAUGCACGUCGUGACGGUACCUAAUCAGAAAGCCACGGCUAACUACG